ensembl:lncRNA
GUUUUAUUUUGAGACCGGCUUGAAUAAGCUCAGUAGCCAAUAGGCAGAGGGUAGCAUAAUGUGUCUGAUUCUCUGUAAUAAUGAUAUGGGAAUAACGAUGCAUUUUUACUUGUAAAGUGGUUUCUUGCAUCUAACAACACAACAACAUGUUCAGUCACCUCCUUGUCUGAAGGACAAGUGGAUAAACAGGUUAAAGGUCAAGCCCUGUUUAUUUUCAAAAGUCUGAUGGAAUGUUGGCCUACACUGAACCUCACACAUCGGCUGCUACUAUAGGCUGAAUGACAGCACAGCUAUUUCCAUGUUAAAAUAUUAUGGGAUGCAUUUUCCCCAUUGUUUUUGAUGGUAGGCCACUCUGAUAGGUCUAGAUUAUGAUCAAGUAGCCAUAGUAGCCUACUUGUCCACAGUAAAACUGUAACUUAAAGCAGCUACAGCCUCAGUGUUCACAGUAAAACUGUAACAUAAAGCAGGUACAGCCUCAGUGUUCACAGUAAAGCAGGUACAGCCUCAGUGUUCACAGUAAAACUGUAACAUAAAGCAGGUACAGCCUCAGUGUUCACAGUAAAGCAGGUACAGCCUCAGUGUUCACAGUAAAACUGUAACUUAAAGCAGGUACAGCCUCAGUGUUCACAGUAAAGCAGGUACAGCCUCAGUGUUCACAGUAAAGCAGGUACAGCCUCAGUGUUCACAGUAAAACUGUAACUUAAAGCAGGUACAGCCUCAGUGUUCACAGUAAAGCAGGUACAGCCUCAGUGUUCACAGUAAAGCAGGUACAGCC